rnacentral:tRNA from 1 species
AGGGAUUUAGCUUAUUGGCAGAGCACAUGCCUGGCAAGCUUGAGGUCUUGAGUUCGAUUCCAGGUACCCCCC